rnacentral:lncRNA from 1 species
GAGAAGAGAGUACCAUCUCGAGCACCAAGAAACAAAUGGUUCAGAUUCUAAGGAAAACUGUGCCCAGAGUUUUGAAACACCAUGCUCUUCAGUGUCAUCUGAGACUAUCCAAGAUACAGAUGAAGAGAUGCAGAUAGUGGAAGAGCUUCAUGCUGCACGCGUGGGGAAAAGUGUGGACUUACCUGCAGGUCCACCAUCUGGGGAGCUAAUGAGUAUGGAAAUUGACUUGGUGGAGGAUGAUGUACAUUCUUCUGCUGAUAUACUCUAAUUUUGAAGACGACAGAAAUACCAGGAUUUGACACACUUGUGUUAAUAAUUCCCUGGGUGGUUAUGCAAGAGCUCGAUCGUAUGAAGGCAGGAAAAUUACUAAAACAUGUCCAGCAUAAAGCUGUACCUGCAAUUCAUUUUAUCAACGACAGCCUCAAAAGUCAAGAUAGAAAGCUAUGGGGUCAGUCAUUACAGCUGGCCUCCCAAAAACUUUAUGGAUUGAGUGAUGAGAACAAUGAUGAUCGAGUAUUAAAGUGCUGUCUUCAGUACCAGGAAUUAUUCCCAUGUUCUCUUGUUAUUCUGUGCACGGAUGAUAGAAAUUUAAGAAGUAAAGGCCUAAUAAGUGGUGUAAAAUCACUCAGUAAAGAAGAGCUGGAUACAGAGAUAUUAAAUUUAACUCUGAACACAGAUUUGUGUCAUCAGCCUUAUAUUUCUAAGCAACAGUUGAAAGCAG